rnacentral:rRNA from 1 species
GUAGGGAAUAUUGCACAAUGGGCGCAAGCCUGAUGCAGCGACGCCGCGUGAGUGAUGAAGGCCUUCGGGUCGUAAAGCUCUGUUGUACGGGAAGAAAAAACUAUGGCUAAUAUCCAUAGUCUUGACGGUACCGUAUCAGAAAGGACCGGCUAACUUCGUGCCAGCAGCCGCGGUAAGACGAGGGGUCCUAGCGUUGUUCGGAAUCACUGGGCGUAAAGCGUAUGUAGGCGGCUUUCUAAGUCGGUUGUGAAAUCCCAUGGCUUAACCAUGGAAUUGCAUUCGAAACUGGAGAGCUUGAGUGUGGGAGAGAUUGGUAGAAUACCUGGUGUAGUGGUGAAAUACGUAGAUAUCAGGUGGAAUACCGGUGGCGAAGGCGGCCAAUUGGCCCAACACUGACGCUGAGAUACGAAAGCGUGGGGAUCAAACAGGAUUAGAAACCCGGGUAGUCC